AACGAACGGAAGCUGUUUUGGGAUGCUUUGCACCCGUUCCGCCACGUCGGGAGAUGUAGCUCGCCCAGCGCCACGCUUCUCGACGGGCUGCUUCCCACACGUGUACCCAGCUGACUGCGUUCGGUAUGCUCCAGCAUAUCCUGGACAGUGAUGAAGCGGGUUCGCCAAUGGACCCUGACGGUGAGGUGCGGAACAAGCGACACGCUCUCGGAUACCAGUGAGCGUCGUGCAGUGGGGAAUCCCUGGUCAUGGUAAACGAUCCUCUAUUCUCGGGAAAGAUUCUAGCGGGUAGGCAUUUAACCAUGGCGCUUGCCAUCGAUGGAUGCAGUGAGAAAAACAUCAAAUCCUGCGAGUGAAGUCUUCUUUGCAGGCACGAUACGCGUGUUCUGUGCUGAGAUGCCCGCGUUUGCUGGUGCUAUGUCCGGUGCUGGACUAGGAUUCAACGCUUGGAGGCUCGUUUGGUGAAUGAAACGCUCAUUCUCGACAGUCAGACUGGAGCGUGAUUCACGUGACCCAGAGGUCUCCGAAGCACAUGAGGGCUCGCUUCCCUGGGUAUAGGCAGCGGUUGCAUAUCCCGGGGAUUGCUGGUCAGAUUCGUGGAUCAAUCAUCAAAAGAUAUCUCGCCUUGACGCUAUUUGGAAGCAGUGCUUCGCGCGGCUACCCGCACAGCAUCGCGCCUGUGUUUUUGAUCGACGGAACCCCCAGAGGAACCGACGACGCGCUAUUGUACGCGAAAGGUAUCGACAUAAGUGAAAACGCCCAUCAUGCCGCAUCCGACCUCCAAGUUAAGCUAGUCACUGAACAUGCUUCCCUUCGGAGUGCAUGCCCAGUUCAUAUGUCACUCGGGGUGCUGUGUGCCUGCUGCUGUGCCCGGCAAUGCACGGAGAGAAGACGCAGCGGCGGGUAGAAUCGUGUGCAUGAGCAAUCUCGAAGAAACGAAAUGCGCACUAGCAACUCGAGAACCUGGUGUUUGAAUGGAUAUGGUGAGCGAUGAAAGGGGAAAACAUUCCCUGUAUAUUCGACCAUUUACGUCUAAGAGGCAGGUCCUGCGAGCCGGAUGAGUGUUCUGGGCCAGCGCUUUGUGUGCUUCUGCACUGACGGGUGCUGAGCCAAUACAUGGCUGCUUGUCCGAAACGCAUUUCAUUCUGGGACCCGUAGCUGGUAAGCUGCGUAGGGGCGUCGCUAUGGUCGCAGUGGACUCCUAGCACAUCGCUUCGCGCCUCCACAGGCAGUGCUUCCGUAUGCGCAGGAUUCAGGCUCCCAGAAUGAUGAUGCAUCCCGAUUCUGUGACUAGUGAAGCGUGCCUCGAGCCGACGCUCCCGGGAGUAUUUCGAAGCCGUUUCGUCUCCGUACUGAAUCCGCACCGGUUGUAUGGGCGUUAUUGCGGGUGCUCAAGACAGCCUCGGCAGUUUUUUGUCGCAGGAAAUGACCAGAAUCUCCGAGAACGAGUAUAAAUAAUCUAACG